AUUGAACGCUGGCGGCAGGCUUAACACAUGCAAGUCGAGCGGGGUGAUGGUGCUUGCACUAUCACUUAGCGGCGGACGGGUGAGUAAUGCUUAGGAAUCUGCCUAUUAGUGGGGGACAACAUCUCGAAAGGGAUGCUAAUACCGCAUACGUCCUACGGGAGAAAGCAGGGGAGCACUUGUGACCUUGCGCUAAUAGAUGAGCCUAAGUCGGAUUAGCUAGUUGGUGGGUAAAGGCCUACCAAGGCGACGAUCUGUAGCGGGUCUGAGAGGAUGAUCCGCCACACUGGGACUGAGACACGGCCCAGACUCCUACGGGAGGCAGCAGUGGGGAAUAUUGGACAAUGGGGGGAACCCUGAUCCAGCCAUGCCGCGUGUGUGAAGAAGGCCUUAUGGUUGUAAAGCACUUUAAGCGAGGAGGAGGCUCUUUUGGUUAAUACCCAAGAUGAGUGGACGUUACUCGCAGAAUAAGCACCGGCUAACCCUGUGCCAGCCGCCGCCGUAA
rnacentral:rRNA from 1 species